rnacentral:lncRNA from 1 species
CUGGAGUACAGUGGCACAACCUCUGCUCACUGCAGCCUCCACCUGCCAGGCUCAAGCAAUUCUCCUGCCUCAGCCUCCCGAGUAGCUGGGAUUACAGGUAAGUGCCACCACACCCAGCUGAUUUUUGUGUUUUUUGUAGAGACGAGGUUUCGCCAUGUUUCCCAGACUGUUCUCAAACUCCUGAGCUCAAAGCAGUCCACCCACCUUGGCCUCCCAGAGUUCUGGGAUUACAGGUGGACAGUCUAGUUGCAGGAAAACAAGCUCAGAGAUCCCACUGAGUCUACGUUAUAAUGUCUUUUUGUCACUUCCAGCUGGAUCUACCAUGAAAGACUUGUGAAUCCAGGAAGAGAGACUGACUGGGCAACAUGUUAUUCAGGUACAAAAAGAUUUGGACUGUAACUUAAAAAUGAUCAAAUUAUGUUUCCCAUGCAUCAGGUGCAAUGGGAAGCUCUUCUGGAGAGUGAGAGAAGCUUCCAGUUAAGGUGACAUUGAAGCCAAGUCCUGAAAGAUGAGGAAGAGUUG